CGGAGCAGAGCGGCCCCACGGGCGCCGGAGCAGAGGCCGCGCAGCAGCGGCGUGGUGUAGGCCAGGAGGCAGGCACGGUGCGGGUGUGCAGGAGGACCAGCGGCGUGGCCGGCGAGGCGCGUGCGUUGGCAGCACCAGCAGCGGCGCGACGCGGAUCGGGAAGUGGAGGAGCAUAGCGUUGAGGUCCAUUUCCGGCGCCUCAUGGGUCUCCUCCCGAGGCUCGGUGACGUCGAGGGCGCGGCGCUGGGCAGCCAAGGCCGUGAAGGAUGCGGCGGCUGCUGCGGUGCGCGAGGAGGCAGCGGCCCUCCAGACGACGGCAGUGCCGGCUCACCCCUUCGUGUGUGGUCACGUCGCCCUCGGAACAAUAGUAGCUGCGCCGGCCUGGCGAGAUGAUCCAGCGAGCCGUGGGGAAGGGGAAGCGACGGUAGCGCGGCCACACUGACAACAAACUGCGGCGUCGGCCUAUGACCGUGGCGGGCAGAGAACUGACGUGUGCGCGGAGCGAUAGCCUGGUGGCGAGGAAGUAAUGUGAGAUGAGCUCAAAGAAGGAUGGCAGAAGCGUGAAGAACAACCAGGAGAUAAUCAAGGUUAUGGAGUGCUGCAAAAGCUUCUCGUCCUCUUUCCCCACUGACUAUAAGUUUGAGUAGCCUCCGUGCAUCACAUCCCAUCAGGAUGGUUCGUGUUAAGAAAAUGUAAUGCAUAUUUUAUUUUCUAAUUGCGAAUGUGCUUUUCUCGAACCAAUUGUGAGUGUCCUUUCACAAGAGCCAAUUGGAAUACCUCAACUCAAUUUAAAAUUUGCUUCGGUGUAUUAAUCUUUUUUCCAUGAUUA